rnacentral:snRNA from 1 species
AGCCGUAUCAUUCAAGUAAUACU